GAUUUCUGGCUCGGUGCGCCUGGCCCGCCACGGUUACGUGUGUGAGUGCCGGGUCGCGCCUGCCAUCCUUCUAGAGAACGGUCCUACCCUUCACUGGGCCGGGGCCGCAAUCUAGAUCUUUUACUUUGAAAAAAUUAGAGUGUUUAAAGCAGGCUUUUGCUAUGAAUACAUUAGCAUGGAAUAAUAAUUUAGGACUUCGGUUCUAUUUUGUUGGUUUCUAGGACUGAAGUAAUGAUUGAUAGGGAUAGUUGGGGGUGCUAGUAUUCAGUGGCCAGAGGUGAAAUUCUCGGAUUCACUGAAGACUAACUUCUGCGAAAGCAUU
rnacentral:rRNA from 1 species